rnacentral:rRNA from 1 species
GAUCCUGGCUCAGGACGAACGCUGGCGGCAUGCCUAACACAUGCAAGUCGAACGAAGCACAUGAGACAGCUUGCUGAGGAUUGUGACUUAGUGGCGAACGGGUGAGUAAUGCAUGAGCAACCUGCCCUUCAGUGGGGGACAACAGUUGGAAACGACUGCUAAUACCGCAUAACACUUCCGAAAGGCAUCUUUUGGAAGUCAAAGAUUUAUCGCUGAAAGAUGGGCUCGCGUACGAUUAGAUAGUUGGUGAGGUAACGGCUCACCAAGUCGACGAUCGUUAGCCGGACUGAGAGGUUGAACGGCCACAUUGGGACUGAGACACGGCCCAGACUCCUACGGGAGGCAGCAGUGAGGAAUAUUGGGCAAUGGGCGCAAGCCUGACCCAGCAAUGCCGCGUGAAGGAAGACGGUUUUCGGAUUGUAAACUUCUUUUAAGAGGGACGAUAAUGACGGUACCUCUUGAAUAAGCCACGGCUAACUACGUG